rnacentral:rRNA from 1 species
UACGUAGGGUGCAAGCGUUAAUCGGAAUUACUGGGCGUAAAGCGUGCGCAGGCGGUUUUUUAAGUCUGUUGUGAAAGCCCCGGGCUCAACCUGGGAAUUGCGAUGGAGACUGCAAGGCUUGAAUCUGGCAGAGGGGGGUAGAAUUCCACGUGUAGCAGUGAAAUGCGUAGAUAUGUGGAGGAACACCGAUGGCGAAGGCGGCCCCCUGGGUCAAGAUUGACGCUCAUGCACGAAAGCGUGGGGAGCAAACAGG